UACGAAGGGGGCUAGCGUUGCUCGGAAUCACUGGGCGUAAAGGGUGCGUAGGCGGGGCUUUAAGUCAGGGGUGAAAUCCUGGAGCUCAACUCCAGAACUGCCUUUGAUACUGAGGAUCUUGAGUUCGGGAGAGGUGAGUGGAAUUCCCAGUGUAGAGGUGAAAUUCGUAGAUAUUGGGAAGAACACCGGUGGCGAAGGCGGCUCACUGGCUCAUUACUGACGCUCAGGCGCGACAGCGUGGGGAUCAAACAGG
rnacentral:rRNA from 1 species